rnacentral:lncRNA from 1 species
AUCAAUCAAGUGAAGCAGCUAUCACAGGGUCUGGAACAUAAAAUAAUCAUGAGGCCCAAAACACUUCCUGAAUGAAAGAGAACCUGCAUUGAAUUUUGUUCUGUGGUGAAUGGUACAUCCCAGCCUUCUUGCACAUAGAAACACUACACAGCACUUCAGCUGUAUGUUUGGGGGCCAUUUUAAACAGCAAAAUCAUCAACAGGAAGCAGAAAAUUGUAAAAAUUGUGGCACUAAAUAGACCAUGUAAAGGACACAUGUUUGCAAUAAGAAAGCUGAAACAAGAAGGGGGAGUGUCACCUUAUUUGAUCCAGCUAGAAACUCAGGUGCUGGUAUUCCAGCAACACUCAGGCGGCUGCUCCAGGAGGCUGCAGAGGGGUCCUUUUUAGCCGUCAACAAAACUGGCUAUGGUCACGCCCAUUGGGAAACUCAUUGCUGCCUUCAAGGACUCAGAAGCUGUAGGAAUAUUCAGGCACAGACACCAGACCCAGCUUCAUCUCUAACUUGUGGCAAAGGACAGUACAUCCUGGGAUGGGACCCUAUGCUCCCCUAUGCCAUUUAGACAGAGCCUGGGGAGAGUGACUUCCCAGGGUAUCCAUGUUGGAAUCUCUCAUUUGAUUCUUAUUCAAAUUUAGGUUCUGUCAAUAGAAGAUACUAAAGAAAGAAAGCCAGGAGAAGAAAAGGGACUUCUUUCUUCAAGGUCUAAGCUGUUCUAAUAGCAUUAUUCUGGGAAUGGCAUCUUCCACUCCUCCUAGUACAAAGAACCUGCUUCCUCAUACCCCGUCAAGGAACUGCAGCAUCCAGAAUACAUUCAUACCUAACACCUCAAUAGAUGACAUGUUAUCCAUGGAAUCGAGUUCAAAGCCCUCUGUAACGUGGCUAUAUCCCAUCUACUCUGAGCUGAUGUUCAGCAGGUGAUGGCCACAGUGGCAGAACCUAGGAAGCCAAGAAGAAACCAGAGAAUGGAGACACAUGGCAGCAAUGGCAAGUCAUCAGACCCAGGAUUUCCCAAAGAACACUGGUCCAGGAAGAUGCUCUGUGAAAAAGUGUUCCCUGGUCGGAGAAAUUUGUGAAACACUUUGCAUAAUACUUAAAAGAAUGUAUGGCACAUCAAAGGUAAUAUGCAAUAAAAGAAUUCAUUUUUUUAA